CCUUGAAAUACCACCCUUUAAUGUUUGAUGUUCUAACGUUGACCCGUGAUCCGGGUUGCGGACAGUGUCUGGUGGGUAGUUUGACUGGGGCGGUCUCCUCCUAAAGAGUAACGGAGGAGCACGAAGGUUGGCUAAUCCUGGUCGGACAUCAGGAGGUUAGUGCAAUGGCAUAAGCCAGCUUGACUGCGAGCGUGACGGCGCGAGCAGGUGCGAAAGCAGGUCAUAGUGAUCCGGUGGUUCUGAAUGGAAGGGCCAUCGCUCAACGGAUAAAAGGUACUCCGGGGAUAACAGGCUGAUACCGCCCAAGAGUUCAUAUCGACGGCGGUGUUUGGCACCUCGAUGUCGGCUCAUCACAUCCUGGGGCUGAAGUAGGUCCCAAGGGUAUGGCUGUUCGCCAUUUAAAGUGGUACGCGAGCUGGGUUUAGAACGUCGUGAGACAGUUCGGUCCCUAUCUGCCGUGGGCGCUGGAGAACUGAGGGGGGCUGCUCCUAGUACGAGAGGACCGGAGUGGACGCAUCACUGGUGUUCGGGUUGUCAUGCCAAUGGCACUGCCCGGUAGCUAAAUGCGGAAGAGAUAAGUGCUGAAAGCAUCUAAGCACGAAACUUGCCCCGAGAUGAGUUCUCCCUGACUCCUUGAGAGUCCUGAAGGAACGUUGAAGACGACGACGUUGAUAGGCCGGGUGUGUAAGCGCAGCGAUGCGUUGAGCUAACCGGUACUAAUGAACCGUGAGGCUUAACCUUACAACGCCGAAGGUGUUU
rnacentral:rRNA from 1 species